UACGUAGGGGGCAAGCGUUGUCCGGAAUCAUUGGGCGUAAAGCGCGUGUAGGCGGUUCGGUAAGUCUGCUGUGAAAGUCCAGGGCUCAACCCUGGGAUGCCGGUGGAUACUGUCGGACUAGAGUACGGAAGAGGCGGGUGGAAUUCCCGGUGUAGCGGUGAAAUGCGCAGAUAUCGGGAGGAACACCAAUUGCGAAGGCAGCUCGCUGGGACGUUACUGACGCUGAGACGCGAAAGCGUGGGGAGCAAACAGG
rnacentral:rRNA from 1 species